rnacentral:rRNA from 1 species
UACAGAGACUGCAAGCGUUAUUCGGAUUCACUGGGCGUAAAGGGCGCGUAGGCGGCCCGCCGCGUCCGGGGUGAAAUCCUCCCGCUCAACGGGAGAACGGCCUCGGAUACGGGCGGGCUGGAGGGGGGUAGGGGCAGGCGGAACUGUGGGUGGAGCGGUGAAAUGCGUUGAGAUCCACAGGAACUCCGGUGGCGAAGGCGGCCUGCUGGACCCCAUCUGACGCUGAGGCGCGAAAGCCAGGGGAGCGAACGGG